GGAGUUUUCUUAUUCCUGGAGCAAGCCUC
rnacentral:piRNA from 1 species